AGGUGCAGGGAAACUGUUUCACUGUCCAUUGUUUCUGCUAUUCAUAUUGUUUGUUUGAAAAGAAGGACAUCUUAAUAAAAUGGAUUGGAAAACGUGGUUUAUAUUGGCUAGCACCUGUGUGUGCCUUGUGCACACACAUUCAAAAAAUGGUACAGCACCUCCAGCUACAACGAUACCAGGUUCUACAAGAUCUUCAA